GCACGGGUGCGUAACGCGUAUACAAUCUACCUUUUGCUACGGGAUAGCCCAGAGAAAUUUGGAUUAAUACCGCAUAGUAUAUUGAGAUCGCAUGGUUUUAAUAUUAAAGGUUACGGCAGAAGAUGAGUAUGCGUUCUAUUAGCUAGAUGGUGUGGUAACGGCACACCAUGGCAACGAUAGAUAGGGGCCCUGAGAGGGGGAUCCCCCACACUGGUACUGAGACACGGACCAGACUCC
rnacentral:rRNA from 1 species